rnacentral:rRNA from 1 species
AACGAACGCUGGCGGCGUGCCCAACACAUGCAAGUCGAGCGAGAAAGCCCGCAAGGGUGAGUAAAGCGGCGCACGGGUGCGUAACACGUGGGUAAUCUGCCCUAGAGUCUGGAAUAACUCGCCGAAAGGCGUGCUAAUACCGAAUAAGACCACGGCUCCCUCGGGAGCAGAGGUCAAAGAUAGCCUCUACUUGUAAGCUAUCACUUAGAGAUGGGCCUGCGUACCAUUAGCUAGUUGGUGGGGUAACGGCCUACCAAGGCAAAGAUGGUUAGCUGGUCUGAGAGGAUGAUCAGCCACACUGGAACUGAGACACGGUCCAGACUCCUACGGGAGGCAGCAGUGGGGAAUAUUGCGCAAUGGGCGAAAGCCUGACGCAGCAACGCCGCGUGAGUGAUGAAGGCCUUCGGGUCGUAAAGCUCUGUCGGAGGGAACGAAUGCUCUUGAGGUUAACAGCCUCGGGAAGUGACGGUACCCUCAAAGGAAGCACCGGCUAACUCUGUGCCAGCCGCCGCGGUAACAC